GUGGGUGCUGCGGUCUCAUUGAUGUAUGGCACCUCAUCUAAUAGUUAUUGGUGAUACGUAUACCAAUGCGUGGAUAACUCUUUAUCCAGAUGCUUCUCCAAGCAUGUUGUACCGAUUUGGUCUCUAAAUUCUGUGACCUCAUCUAACAGUUAUUGGUACAUUCCUUAGUUAAGUCGGACCCACCAUUCACCAGCAAGUGUAAAGCCAUCAUUGGGUCCCUCACCUAACAGUUAUUGGGCU
rnacentral:lncRNA from 1 species